GUCUACAGCCAUGCCACCCUGAACAAGCCUGAUCCCAUCUGAUCUCGGAAGCUAAGCAGGGUUGAGCCUGGUUAGUACUUGGAUGGGAGACCACCCAGGAAGACCAGGUGCUGCAGGGG
rnacentral:rRNA from 1 species